UCGUGGGCGGCGGUAGUGAUAGAGGGCGCGCGCUGCUCGGAUUUCUCCCACUUAAACUUCAAUAAAACAGAUCAAAACUCAAUAAAACCUCAUAAUAACGCACCAAAACACUGAUAAUAGCUUACCGGGAGCUGAAAAUGAAGCUUCGGCGCCGAAUAGACCGUGAAAACGUGCCGUGAGAUCCCCGAAUUGGUCCGGUGAGCCGAGCCCAGACCAGACCGUUGAACCAGGAAACUUUUCUGCAUGCAGCAAAAUGAACCCAUUGAUUCCAGGACUCGUUCACCCAGAAACUGGGCUAAUUCACUUCAAAGUGCGGGGUGCUGGGCUGUGCUCUAGUUAGGAUGAGGAAAUCGUCGUCUCUCUGCCUCGUAUUGAUUUUGGCCUGCAGCGGUGACGGACACAGAGAGGGGAGGGGUGGAGGGGUGAAGGGUCGAAGGUCAGCCCGAGCAGGUGUGAUUGAGACCAGUGAUGAUGGACGGGGAGGAAGAAAAGAGAAGAGUCCGAGAGGAAAGAAUAAGAAACAGGAUGAUGAUGAAGAUGAAGAAGAAAACAGCACUAGGACUCGGGAAUGCUUCUGAAAAUCCCAGGAUCCUGAGGAGAAAGUGAGAGCCAUUGAUCUAAACAAGAAGGAACCAAACACACAGGGAGAGGGGAAGGAUAAGGUUCCUCUGGUCGGAGUCACUUAGUCUACAAACACACGCAAAAACGCAAAGAGGCAAAGACAUACAGUAACACACACCCCUACUUCUUCCCUCUUACUCGGAUUCUCUCUGUCUGUCCUGAGCUCCAGAGAGCUUCAGCGCUCCAGCUUCAGACACCCAGUCUCCCUCUCAGAGACAGGGACACACAUGCAUAUACACAGCUUCAUCUACAUACACACACACACCCCUCUACCUGCACUCAAACACACAGUAAAAUCUGUUACACAUACACACCCAUAAAUGACAUGAUAAUACAAAAUAUUCACACAGCCGUGUUUCUGCACUGAUUUUAAAGAAUGCAUCAAAAUCUACGGUCAGAAACAAACCAUGCAAACAAACUACAGCAGAAACAAACCAUGCACAAACUCAAACAGCAUGGCAUGAGAACAGGGAUAAGUAAAGGGAUUAGGCCCAUUUGUAGACUAAAAAAAAAUCUCCAUUCUAAUUGCUGUUUGGUCCAAGACUAGGCUUAAUACCUGUCUAAGAAACUGCCACAUAGUGUAUAUCUAAUACGGCCGUGCAUCGAAAUUUUAUUGCAAAACGGCAGCGUCUGAAAUACCUCAUUACUAACAAGUAGCAUAAAAAUGAUGCUUAUUUUCAAUACUUUGCAUAAAGUGCACAAAAUUGUGCACAGCAAGGUAAACAUGGCGGAGUGUUCUAAAUUCGGACUCUACUCUAAUGUCUCAUCUUCGCUUCAUUUACCUUCAACUUGUCGCCACAACGCUACAGUAAAAAAAUACAUAUCCUGCCAUACCUAAACCACGCUACACUAUUAUUACUGUCUCCUCACAAUAAUACAGGGAAAUACCAACAUUUAAAAAAUAUAUAUCAUGAUUAUAAUUAAUAUUUAAGUAAUUGAUACCACUAAUAUAUAAAUAUAAUUACAUAGUGACAAUCUAAUGAUAUUUCUCAAAAUAAAAACUAUAUAAAUACACUGUCUGCAUAAUUAUCACUUUUUGUAUAUAUUUUUUGUAAAUUUAGAAAAAAAUAACGAAGAAAGUAUUGUUUUAUGUAUCGUAUCGAAAAUC